UACGGGGGGGGUAAGCGUUGUUCGGAAUUACUGGGCGUAAAGGGCUCGUAGGCGGCCAACUAAGUCAUACGUGAAAUCCCUCAGCUUAACUGGGGAACUGCGUGUGAUACUGGAUGGCUUGGAUUUGGGAGAGGGAUGCGGAAUUCCAGGUGUAGCGGUGAAAUGCGUAGAUAUCUGGAGGAACACCGGUGGCGAAGGCGGCACCCUGGACCAAUAUUGACGCUGAGGAGCGAAAGCUAGGGGAGCAAACGGG
rnacentral:rRNA from 1 species